AUAUUUGCUAAUACCUGGCUGCUUCUACCUGAGGGACAUAGAGGCUCUUUGUACACAAAUAAACGCUGUUCUUCUUCGCCUGCCAUCAGGGAUCAUGUCAAGGGACCGCUCUCAUCACCUCUGCUUCUCUGUCGAUGUGAAACACGUGUGAGGCUGGAAGCUGCCAAACCUGAGGGAGCCUGCAUUCCUGUGCCCCGUCAGUGGGUCUUCACUGUGACUUCCCAAGCAAAGCACUGGGGGCCUCUCCAAUUUCACUUCCUGUGGGCUUGUUCUUGCGGGCCAGAAGGAAGCCAAACACUGCCUGGUAGGGAGUGCAGGGCCAUGAGAUACAGCUGGGCCAUCCUCCCUGUCGCUGGGCAAGGACACCAGUUUCCAGGUCACAGAGAGCAACUCUCACUGGUUUUCAUUGUGGGAAUUUCUUUGGAUCCUUUCCUCAGAUCUUUUGUUAAGCCAGCUAUUAAACAACACCACCAAAAGUAAAUAAAUGAAAAGAUCAAACUGACUUUGGAAAACAUUAUCUGCCAUGAACUACCUCUGAGUUAGCCUCGUUCAGCUCCUUUUACUGUGCUCAGUAUGGGGAGGCAUGAGGAGUACAUGGAGGUUCCCAGGGCUGCCGUGAGAACCUCAGCUUUCCCCUUCACUAGCUUCAUGGCUGUGACCCAGAACUUAUCCUUUCUGAGUCUCAUUUUUCUUAUCAAAGAAAAAAAAAAUUGAGAACAGUAAGCAAAGCAUUAGGAUUGUGUUGGAAGGGGAAUAUGAGAAAAAGCCUGGCAGAUAGACAAUACCUGUUAUCACACUGAGAGCCAUGUGUCUUGGUGAGACAUGAGGGAGCACAGGCAGUUGGAUCUCAUUUCCUGCCAGGAGGAAAGGAGCCAAGACAGCUCGCCCAGGGUCACUGAGGGCCUGAGUCUGUUAGCCAAUGAAGCCAGAGCUGGAGCAAUUCCUGCCUCGUAGUCCAGUAACAUUUCUAUGCUGUCUUAGCAAAAGCAUUCCCACUGCCCAAACCAUCUGUAUGUUCAUUCCUUUGGGUGACAUAUUUCUUUCCCAGCCCUAAGUGAGUGGCACCCAAAAAAGUAUUACUCCACUGUCCUCAGUAGCACCUCCACAUCCAGCCUGUCUGUAUCGUAGUCCCACGGUGCCAAGUCCUUGGCCAAGAGUACAGAGGCGGCAGGGGACCGUAGCGCUCCCUCUUCUUCUUAAAAGAACUUUAAAAAAAUGGCAACAUCCAAAGGAGGGGUCCUAAACACCUCACGAGAGUCCAAGUUGCUCCCUGUGCACUGGUCUUUCUUGUGCUAUAAAAUCUAAAGGAGCAGUUAAGUGCUUAGUUGCCUCAAAAGCUGAGCUUGCGCAUCUCAGUCCUGCUGUGCUCCCAGUGUGAGGGGCCCUGCUUGUGGUGCUCCCUAAAUGACACAGGCCUUCCCUUUAAGAAGUCUGUCGUCCCGAGACUCCUGCAAAUGGGUGAUUCCUUCAACUCUGGAGUUCAGUCUAUCACAUAGUGUUGCUGACCACAUCAGAGCAACUGCUUGAACAUUAUCUAAGCUCAACUGACGGGGGUCUCCCGUGCAAUUGAGUAGUCAGCUGUUUAGUUUUGUAAAUCUGCAGCAGAGAGACUUGGGCUGUCCUAUUGAAAAUGAAUCCUGUUGCAAAGUCCAGGAAGAAGAUACUAGAGUCUAGGGUUGACAAAAUUCAAUCCAAUUAUUUCAUUCCAUGUUAAAAGUAUCAAAUAAAAAGUGAGACAAUUUUAUUAAUUUUCACAUGUGAUACUUAGCUUAUCUUCUCAUUAAAGAUAUACAUCUUAAUUAAAAGCUGUUGGCCGGGCGCGGUGGCUCAAGCCUGUAAUCCCAGCACUUUGGGAGGCCGAGACGGGCGGAUCACGAGGUCAGGAGAUCGAGACCAUCCUGGCUAACACGGUGAAACCCCGUCUCUACUAAGAAAUACAAAAAACUAGCCGGGCGAGGUGGCGGGCGCCUGUAGUCCCAGCUACACGGGAGGCUGAGGCAGGAGAAUGGCGUGAACCCAGGAGGCGGAGCUUGCAGUGAGCUGAGAUCCGGCCACUGCACUCCAGCCUGGGUGACAGAGCGAGACUCCGUCUCAAAAAAAAAAAAAAAAAGCUGUUUAAGAUGAUAUGCUGUGCUGAUUUAUUCCACUCAAACAAAUAAAACAAAUAUUUACUAACCAUUUGUUUAAUGUGUCAGGAGCCUUAUUCUGUACUUUACAUGUUAUUUCAUUUUAUCAUCACAAAUAAAUCAUGAUAUCACAAAUACUGUUCUUUAGAGAUUACUAUGUGCCAGGCCCUGUACUGACAUCUCUACAUGUAUUAUUAGUUCAUUUUAUUGUCAUAGUCCAGUAAAACUAUUACUACAGAAUGAGUAACCCUAAUCUCAAAAUCCAAAAUUUGAAACUUUCUGAGCCCUGACAUGACAUGAGUAAAAUUCCACACCUAAUCUCAUGUGAUGGGUCAACAUACACAAACUUUGUUUCAUGCACAAAAUUAUUUAAAAUGUUAUAUAAAAUUACAUGCAGGCUAUGUUAUAAGGUGUAUAUGAAACAUAAUCAAUUUUGUGUUUAAACUUGCAUCACUUCUCCAAGAGAUCUUGUUAUGGACAUUCAAAUAUUCCAAUAUUAAAAAAUUCUGAAACCUGAAACACUGAUGGUCCCAACCAUUUUGGACAAAGAAUACUCAACCUGUAUUAUUAUCUUCAUUUGUCAAAUGAGGAACUUUAGGAACAGAGAAGUUCAGUAACUUGCCCUAGGUCACGUAGUCGGCUCAGAGCUGGGAUUUUCACACAGGAGCCUGGCUCCCAGGUGUAUAAGCUCUCCAACUGCAGCUGCCUUCCCUAAGAAGUUCCCAGCACAGCCUCUGGCAAAGGUAGUGGCCUUCAGGACUUUCCACAGAGGGACUCAUUUCUUUCUUUGCCUUCUCACUCUGUGCCACGUGCCUGAAAACCAGAGACUGCAUUUCAUAAAAGUUGCCUGACUCAGUGAAGGUGUGAGUAGGUGUAAUUAUUCUAAUUUUGCAAGAAGAAUUAGCUCUGAAAAACUAAGUCAGUCAGGGCAGAACCACUCAAGAUUCAAUCUUGGGCCACUGUGCAUCUAACAUCUGUGAUGUUUAACCUACCUCACAAGACAUACUCCUGUCUGCAACAUGUGCUCAUACCUUUGCUAUAGAAUUUUCCUAGCAUACAUUAUUAUUGACGUGUUUGCAAGGCAUUAUCUUCAAUUCACCUGGGAUUAUUCUUCAGGAUGGGGGUUGAGGGUGGGAAGUGAGGGUCAUUUUGUCUUUCUGGGCAACCCCAGCACCUCACUGUUUCUGACAAAUACAAGGAAUACAAGGCACCCAGCAAUGGUUUGUUGAAUAUAUGACAAAUGAGAGAAUAAAGGAUAACUUAAUAAUAAUGCCUUUAUUUGGUUCUCUAAAACAACCUUUUCUUUGUUUUUUACAGAAGGCUACAGUCAGCGAUGAGAUCAUUUUUAUUCUAUCACUAUAGCUUUUGCUUGAGAAAAACAUUAACAAGUAUCUCCUUCCAGAAAUCUUGCAGAUCAAUUUGUUUAGUCAUGAGGGCUCAACAGCCAUCUGUUACUCAGCUGCAGGAGUUGUUUAUUCAUACUUUUGCCCAUUCAUCUGUUUUGUGUUUCCUUUUGUCCAUAUCUCACUUAAGAUAAACAAAAUCCUGUCAGUGUGUGAAGAAAGCCAAGCCUCCGAAUCUGCCUGUGCUGAGAACAAGGGUAUUAUUUGUCAGAAGGACAAAAGAGCCUAGGGUGGAGGGAAGAAUACACACUUCUUAUGCUUGAAAAGCAGAAGGUCAUUGAACAUUACUAAUUAUGGAGUCCUCCUAAUCAUGUCUGACUUUAAAGUGCCCGUUGGGUUAUUUAGGAGUAUAAGAUGCAGUCAUUCCAGUCCUGCAAACAUUUCCAACCCUAUAUCUGCUUUUCACAUUAUUUGUAGAACUUCUUAUUUUUUCGCCUAGGCAAAAGAUUUUUCUUCUCUAAUUCAGAGAACAAGUUCAUAGACAUAGACAGGUUUUCUAAUGAAAGAGAUAACAUUCUCCUACCAACUCAGAAACCAUGGGAAAGACAUAAUUACUUGUUCUUCAUCAUCUUCUAAUGAGAAUUUCAAAUCAGUUCCCUGCCACUAAAUUUCUGAAGUGACAAAAUUUCUCA
ensembl:lncRNA